GCCUGCCAGUGACCAUGUGUUCAACGGCCGCGGUAUUCUGACCGCGCGAAGGUAGCGUAAUCACUUGUUUUUUAAAUAAAGACUAGUAUGAACGGCCGCACGAGGACCUAACUGUCUCCUUUGUCCAAUCAGUGAAACUGAUCUCCUCGUGCAGAAGCGAGGAUCUUAUCAUAAGACGAGAAGACCCUAUGGAGCUUUAAACUUUUAUUAAUUAUUUUCUUCACCCCUCUAAGGAGCCAACAACUAAUUUAAUUUUUUUAUAAAAGUUUUGGGUUGGGGCGACCAUGGAGGAAAAAUAAUCCUCCCUGAUGACACCUAACUAAGAGCCACAGCUCCAAAUAUUAAGACACUUAACUCCUAUUGACCCAUUUUAUGAUCAACGAACCAAGUUACCCUAGGGAUAACAGCGCAAUCCAUUUCAAGAGUCCUUAUCGACAAAUGGGUUUACGACCUCGAUGUUGGAUCAGGGCAUCCAAGUGGUGCAACCGCUACUAAAGGUUCGUUUGUUCAACGAUUAAAGCCCUACGUGAUUU
rnacentral:rRNA from 1 species